GACGAACGCUGGCGGCGUGCUUAACACAUGCAAGUCGAACGAAGUGGCGAACGGGUGAGUAACGCGUAAUCAACCUGCCCUUCAGGGGGGGACAACAGUUGGAAACGACUGCUAAUACCGCAUACGGAAGGAGGGGAUUGCGUCUGAUUGGCUGGUUGGAGGGGUAACGGCCCACCAAGGCGAUGAUCAGUAGCCGGGCUGAGAGGCUGAACGGCCACAAUGGGACUGAGACACGGCCCAGAAUCCUAAGGGAGGCAGCAGUGGGGAAUCUUCCGCAAUGGACGAAAGUCUGAAGGAGCAACGCCGCGGGAGUGAUGACGGCCUUCGGGUUGUAAAGCUCUGUUAAUCGGGACGCGGUACCGGAAUAGAAAGCCACGGCUAACUACGUGCCAGCCGCCGCGGUAAUUC
rnacentral:rRNA from 1 species